GACAGAGGGUGCAAACGUUGUUCGGAUUUACUGGGCGUAAAGAGCGCGCAGGCGGUCGUUCAAGUCGAGUGUGAAAGCCCCCGGCUCAACUGGGGAGGUCAUUCGAUACUGAUCGACUGGAAGGCAGGAGAGGGAAGCGGAAUCCCGGUGUAGUGGUGAAAGUGCGUAGAUAGUCGGAGGAACACCAGUGGCGAAGGCGGGCUCCUUGGC
rnacentral:rRNA from 1 species